UGUGGAAUAUUGCACAAUGGAGGGAACUCUGCUGCAGCGACGCCGCGUGAGUGAUGAAGGACUUCGUUUCGUAAAACUCUGUUCUAUGGGAAGAAAAGGACUGUACCAUAGGAGAAAGCUCCGGCUAAAUACGUGCCAGCAGCCGCGGUAAUACGUAUGGAGCGAGCGUUGUCCGGAAUUAUUGGGCGUAAAGGGUGCGCAGGCGGCUUUACAAGUUGGAUGUGAAAUAUUGUGGCUCAACCACAAACGUGCAUCCAAAACUGCAAAGCUUGAGUUAAGGAGAGGUAAGUGGAAUUCCUGGUGUAGCGGUGGAAUGCGUAGAUAUCAGGAGGAAUACCGGUGGCGAAGGCGACUUACUGGACUUAAACUGACGCUCAGGCACGAAAGCGUGGGGAGCAAACAGG
rnacentral:rRNA from 1 species